AUGAGAUGCCCAACAGCACAGGCUGAGAAAGGUUAUGAUAAUCACAAAUUGGAGACUGUCUCUACACCAGCGGUAUGUAAAUAUUGGAUUAAAAAGUAUCGCCGCCAGGUCAAUUACGAACUUCAAACUGUCCAGAUCAAAACCACAGCCCGGAAGUGGUGGAUAAAACAGCUUCUUGAUCUUAUUGUAACUUGUUUCGAUGCUACUUUUUACUGUGUGGAUGCAGGAAUACAAGAGAGAACGAAACAUGAUACAACAAUAAGAGAUUAG